rnacentral:rRNA from 1 species
GAUGAACGCUGGCGGCGUGCCUAAUACAUGCCAGUCGAGCGAACGGACGAGAAGCUUGCUUUUCUGAUGUUAGCGGCGGACGGGUGAGUAACACGUGGAUAACCUACCUAUAAGACUGGGAUAACUUCGGGAAACUGGAGCUAAUACCGGAUAAUAUUUUGAACCGCAUGGUUCAAAAGUGAAAGACGGUCUUGCUGUCACUUAUAGAUGGAUCCGCGCUGCAUUAGCUAGUUGGUAAGGUAACGGCUUACCAAGGCAACGAUGCAUAGCCGACCUGAGAGGGUGAUCGGCCACACUGGAACUGAGACACGGUCCAGACUCCUACGGGAGGCAGCAGUAGGGAAUCUUCCGCAAUGGGCGAAAGCCUGACGGAGCAACGCCGCGUGAGUGAUGAAGGUCUUCGGAUCGUAAAACUCUGUUAUUAGGGAAGAACAUAUGUGUAAGUAACUGUGCACAUCUUGACGGUACCUAAUCAGAAAGCCACGGCUAACUACGUG